rnacentral:rRNA from 1 species
UUGGGUUAAGUCCCGCAACGAGCGCAACCCUCGUCGUUAGUUGCCAGCAUUAAGUUGGGCACUCUAGUGAGACUGCCGGUGACAAACCGGAGGAAGGUGGGGAUGACGUCAAGUCAGCAUGCCCCUUACGUCCUGGGCUACACACGUACUACAAUGCUGUGGACAAAGAGUUGCCAGCCCGCGAGGGUGAGCUAAUCUCAUAAACCACGGCCCAGUUCAGAUUGCAGGCUGCAACUCGCCUGCAUGAAGGCGGAAUCGCUAGUAAUCGCAGGUCAGCAUACUGCGGUGAAUACGUUCCCGGGCCUUGUACACACCGCCCGUCACACCAUGGGAGUUGGCCACGCCCGAAGUCGUUACUCCAACUGUUUGCAGAGGGGGACGCCGAAGGCAGGGCUGAUGACUGGGGUGAAGUCGUAACAAGGUAGCCGUACCGGAAGGUGUGGCUGGAUCACCUC